GCCCCCUUAGCUCAGUGGACAGAGCAUCGGUCUUCUAAACCGACGGUCGUAGGUUCGAAUCCUACAGGGGGCG
rnacentral:tRNA from 1 species